rnacentral:rRNA from 1 species
UACGAAGGGGACUAGCGUUGUUCGGAAUUACUGGGCGUAAAGGGCGCGUAGGCGGCGUGGCAAGUCAUCUGUGAAAUCUCCGGGCUUAACUCGGAACGGUCAGAUGAUACUGCUUUGCUCGAGUGCGGAAGGGGCAAUCGGAAUUCUUGGUGUAGCGGUGAAAUGCGUAGAUAUCAAGAGGAACACCUGAGGUGAAGACGGGUUGCUGGGCCGACACUGACGCUGAAGCGCGAAAGCCAGGGGAGCAAACGGG